GUAAGACCUGGAGCCACCCAGCUUAGUUGUUCUAACUCCUCAUUUGCCAACAUCAUCAGGGCUCUGCUAAUCUGUAUAUGCAUUAAGUUACAUGCCCCACACCGGGUGAAUAAUUUCUGUUUUCACAGGACUCACCAUUAACAGGGAGAGAAAUUAUAACCUGUGUUCAGCAAGCUUGCUGCCUGGCAAUCUUCCUCCCUUUCAUUUGCAGAGUGGCACACUAAAAGCUGGCAAGGCAGACUUUAUGCAAAGCCCUUCUGCAAUAAAGGGACAGUAAAAGACAGUGCCUGCCCUUCAGAGUCUCAACACUGAAGACUGGUAUGUGCAUGAACACGGCAACAAGAUCAAAGUGAUGUGCAAACAUUCCGCCUUUCACGCUCUAGGUAUUACUGAAUUGGUGCUAUGGGACCAACCAGGAGCCUCAG
rnacentral:lncRNA from 1 species